AGGAGGAGACGCCAGCAGAGGAAAGAAACAAUAUUAACCAAAAUAAUGUAAGUAAAAGUUCUCAUUUACACAGAAAGACACUGAUCACAUGUUUAAUAUAUAAAUAGACGUCACAUUUAACUAAUGCCUGUAAAAUGUCGGAGAGGAACACCAACAUCCACUGAUGGAGGAGAAGAAAGAUGGAGGACGGGAGUGCCAGCAUCUACCAAUGGAGGAGAAGAAAUACUUUUAUUAACCAAAACAAUGUAAGUAAAACCUCUCGUUUACACAGAAAGACACUGGACACGUUUAUUGUAAAAAAUGACUUUCUAAUAAUUCUUGUAAAAUAUUGGACUUGAACACCAGAAUUCACUGAUUGAGAACAAGGAAGAUGGAAGAGUACCAUCAUCUACCAAUGGAGGAGGAGGAGGAGGAGAAAAAUGGGGGAGCACCAGCAUCCAAAAGUGUCCCACAAUCAGCCCCAGGAGGAGAUAUCAGCAGAGGAAAGAAAGACUAUUAACCAAAACAAUGUAAGUAAAACACUGAUCACAUGUUUAAUGUAUAAAUAGACGUCACGUUUUACUAACGCCUGUAAAAUGUUGGAGAGGAACGCCAACAUCCACUGAUGGAGGAGAAGAAAGAUGGAGGACGGGAGUGCCAGCAUCUACCAAUGGAGGAGAAGAAAUACUUUUAUUAACCAAAACAAUAAUUCACUGAUUGAGAACAAGGAAGAUGGAAGAGUACCAUCAUCUACCAAUGGAGGAGGAGGAGGAGAAAAAUGGGGGAGCACCAGCAUCCAAAAGUGUCCCACAAUCAGCCCCAGGAGGAGAUAUCAGCAGAGGAAAGAAAGACUAUUAACCAAAACAAUGUAAGUAAAACAUUGAUCACACGUUUAAUGUAUAAAUAGACGUCACGUUUUACUAACGCCUGUAAAAUGUUGGAGAGGAACGCCAACAUCCACUGAUGGAGAAGAAGAAAGAUGGAGGACGGGAGUGCCAGCAUCUACCAAUGGAGGAGAAGAAAUCCUUUUAUUAACCAAAACAAUGUAAGUCAAACCUCUCAUUUACACAUAAAGACACUGAUCACAUAUUUAAUGUAUAAAUAGAAGUCACGUUUUACUAACACCUGUAAAAUGUUGGACUUGACCACCAGCAUCCACUGAUGGAGGAGAAGAAAGAUGGAGGACAGGAGCACACAAACAUCAGCACAAGACGGAGAUGAAGAAAGACUUCUAUCAAUCAACCAAAAACAAUGUAAGCAAAGCCUCUUGUUUGAACACACAUUUAAUAUAAAAAUAGGUGUUAAUUACUGUACUAGUGCCUGUAAAACAUCU
rnacentral:lncRNA from 1 species